rnacentral:rRNA from 1 species
GAUGAACGCUAGCUACAGGCUUAACACAUGCAAGUCGAGGGGCGGCAUUUCUUUAGCAAUAAAGAAGAUGGCGACCGGCGCACGGGUGAGUAACACGUAUCCAAUCUGCCUUUUACUCGGGGAUAGCCUUUCGAAAGAAAGAUUAAUACCCGAUGGUAUAUAGUUUCCGCAUGGAGAUUAUAUUAAAGAAUUUCGGUAAAAGAUGAGGAUGCGUUCCAUUAGAUUGUUGGUAGGGUAACGGCUUACCAAGUCUACGAUGGAUAGG